GUUUGAUCCUGGCUCAGAGCGAACGUUAGCGGCACGCCUAACACAUGCAAGUCGCACGAGAAAAGGGCAACCUUAGUAAAGUGGCGCACGGGUGCGUAACACGUAGAUAACCUGCCCUUUGGAGGGGGAUAACGUUCCGAAAGGAGCGCUAAUACCGCAUACAGCAAGAGCCGGUUUGCCGGUUUUUGGCAAAGGUAGGGACCCGCAAGGGCCUACCGCCAGAGGAGGGGUCUGCGGCCCAUCAGCUAGUUGGUGAGGUAAUGGCUCACCAAGGCAGAGACGGGUAGCUGGUCUGAGAGGAUGAUCAGCCACACUGGUACUGGAACACGGACCAGACUCCUACGGGAGGCAGCAGUGGGGAAUCUUGCGCAAUGGGCGAAAGCCUGACGCAGCGACGCCGCGUGAGUGAUGAAGGCCUUCGGGUUGUAAAGCUCUGUGGGGCGGGACGAAAAAGCAGUUUCUAAUAGGAGCUGAAUUGACGGUACCGCCUUAGCAAGCACCGGCUAACUCUGUGCCAGCAGCCGCGGUAAGACAGAGGGUGCAAACGUUGCUCGGAAUCACUGGGCGUAAAGGGCGUGUAGGCGGGACGGUAAGUCGGGCGUGAAAUCCCUGGGCUCAACCCAGGAACUGCACUCGAAACUACCAUUCUUGAGUGUCGGAGAGGAAAGCGGAAUACCUGGUGUAGAGGUGAAAUUCGUAGAUAUCAGGUGGAACACCAGUGGCGAAGGCGGCUUUCUGGACGAUAACUGACGCUGAGACGCGAAAGCGUGGGGAGCAAACAGGAUUAGAUACCCUGGUAGUCCACGCUGUAAACGAUGAGUGCUA
rnacentral:rRNA from 1 species